UUAAUACCAAAUAUGAUAAUUAUACCAUUUCAGCUAGCUCCUCAAGAAUACAUAGUGCAUAAAUGUUUUGUUAUUAUUGUUUUAAAUAAAGGUGUUGUAAAAGAUUGCUUAUUACGUGCACGUGCCCAGUUACGUCAUCUAAGCAAGAAUAAAAGUGUAUCGUCUCCAUACACCACUAUUUUCUGUCUGGUUGUCUUAUUUAACAACAAAACAUAUCAGAGUUAUACCGUGUGCGUUCCUAGCCUAUAAAUUGUUGUAGCACGACUUAUUUGAUCAAAUCUGGUUUGCAAAUGAGAAGUUUCCUUUCCCCUCUUUUUGCAUAUGAUCUCCAUUAGAAAUUAAACUAUAUACAUAGUGAACGUUGGAAGUGUAUUCUUCCAUUUAUUCUUAAGCGUCUCAGGAAAAUCAACAUUGAUUAGUUUAUUCUGUGUAAAAUAUUAAUACAGUUUCACGUCGGGAUGAUAGAAAGCCUCUGCUUCAUUACAAUUGCAAAUGUGAAAUCUGAAUUGCACUCACAAAAAUUUUGCAUAACACUGAAUGUUAAUAGGAAAUAGCACAUCAGAUUAACACUAGUUGUAGACGAGGAUGGAUUCACGAAUGGAAUAGAGUCCAGAAAACAGAAAAAAGCUGCAAUAUACCUGUAUACGGAAUGAGAAAAGUGCAGUUUGACCAGGAUGAUGGCGAGAAACCAGGUCACGAGAGAAAAAUAUGUAAAUCGGAUGCCCUUCAUUAAGUCAGCACACGGUACUGUUUAAUCCGCCGCUGGAUGUGGUCAAGGGAUUCGUGAUUUUUAAAGUGUUAAAGUCUGGACAUUCAGUGAAUUCAGAUGCAGAAACACGGAUCAGAAGGAACGGAGUCCUCUACAAAAUUUGUUACGGUUAUGCAGACGACAGGUACGAAACUUUCCUCAGACCCAUUUAGGCCUACAAUCCCUAAAUCUGUGAACCUCCAAGUUUGCUUAUUACACCGUGGAACUACCGAGUUAGAGCCAUGGAUAUGUGUCUUUGAUUAGAUUGUGACUUAACUCGUGGUAUUGGAUAAAUGUUGGUGGAUGAGAGUGGCACCAGUGAUUAAUCUCCGCCGUGUGUGGGAAAACGAUGCCACCCCGACCUAUUCCGUGUCGCUACUGUCUGCAACAAUGUUUCACGCCACGAAUCCACUUCAUCGCUACAAAAUAUAUGUCUGCAAAACAACACAAUUAAACACAGUUAAUAUCAGAUAGUGGAACCGAGGCCCCUGGGGACAGACAAUUUCUACAGUUAAUCAGAGAAUCCGCGGCUUCUAUCUUCCUAUGUUGCUGAUGGACUGAUACGGGUGAGACGUGGAAAUGCAAUACAGAAACCUGCAAAUGGCCCGAUUCGACUUCCCUGUGAAAGAUGGAAAGCUAUACUGCUCACCUUGAUGGAACAAGAAAGGAUACUGUUUCAGAAUAACAACACGAAACAUGAAACAAGCGAUGAAGUUCGAGGAGCAGAAAUGAGUGUUAGACUGCCAAAAGUUAGAGGAAAACGCGAUAGUCAACCGAAAUGGAUGUAUAAACAUACCAAGAGGUGGUUUCUUUGAGUAAAGAAUGAACAUUUUGUGAUAUUGAAGAAACCUCUCCGCUGUUUUGUUUGUUUGUGCUGGACAACAUAUCAGGAUCGGGAAAUUCUUGUCGUGAAAGCUGCUCAGGGAAUACAGAAUUAGUAUGCAAAGUAUCACUCGGGAGCAGAAAAAAGCAUUGUUCAGAUUGUCAAUAACGUGCGAUUUCCCAUCGGCAUCAUUUUGUUGGCCGAGAAGCGCAGGAGCAACAGAACCGUAUUACUGAAGUCGCUAUCUAGUUCAGAAGUGAAGAUGCAACCUCUUCUUCUCACGAGAUCUUGCAUUGUUCAAGAAAACGCUACAAUUUUCUGUUAAGAUAUUGAUUUUUAAUAAGUUCUCAAGGAAAUUUUCUCAAACAAGGAAAAAUUUUCAUUAUCCGUAUGAUAAUAAAAUAUCCUCACAACAA